AAUCUCAUUUUUGACUUUUGAAGGUGGCCUGGAAUGCAAACAAUUAACUUAGGAGACAUUUAAAAAGUCCACAACCUGUAGGUAACAUUUUUGUGGAGAGGAGGAAUUGAAAGAAAGGAAUAAAAAGAGCCAGGAAAAAAAGGGAAGAAAAACCCCAACAACAAAGAAAAGGAACUAGAGAAGAAAUUAUGCCAGUCCAGAUUGCAGCUCUCCAACUGUGGCUAAACUGAUUGCUUGCCUGACAUUAUAAGGCCGAUUACACCCUCCCCAGAGGAAUAUUAUAAACAAGGAUUUACAAUCAAAAUAUUUUUAUUUGUUUGAAAAUUAAUUUGGCAAGGCAGAAGAUCAGAGGUAUAAAGCAGAUGGAAAAAUCAGCCUGCUCUCUUUGCCUUUAAGGAAGCAGCUGUAGAGCAGCAGAAAAUGGAAUAAAAAUGUCACUUGUGCCCUGAAGCUCCCGUAAAAAGAAGACAAUACAGCUCCUUCUUUCUCUCCCUCCCCCAGUCCUGCUCCCUCCAAACACAAAAGCUACUCUCUCCUCCAGCAGGUAUUAAACAUUAAUGGCCAUUCCUGUAAUAAGGUGCAGAGAACGACUCCCUACAGUUCAGCUGCCCAAUCAUUUGGGUUUGGGGAGGUCCUCAGCCCAGCACUCAUUGGAAUUGAUUUUGUCUUCCUGUUUUCCUUGCUACAGCCUUCGGGCUGAAAGUAACUAAACACUUCUUUUCUCAUUCCGCUUCACUGAAAUAUUUAUCUGAUUAUCUGUUUGAUGAAAAGGUUAUUGCAAGAAUAAUGAUGACUUGCUCCCUGCAUAUAUUCAAACAUGAAGAGGAUAAAGAAAACUUCAUGGGUAGAAUGAUACAGAUGCCUUUCUGAUGCUGUCUUGUGAAUAAAUAACACAGAGCACUGUGAGAAAUUAUAGCCUAGGAGAAAGAAGACUGUAUACAUGGAACCACAGUGGCCAAAUGGGAGGAAAUCAAUCAAGCAAACCAGAUUUUCCAGUGAGUUAAAAUGUCAUAACUAUUGUGGAUCAUUGGAUGUCUUAUCCUCACACAACUCUUCUGUGUUGACUAUGUUUGAAGAAUGGAUGAGAGAGGAACACCCAGUUGGUUUCUUUGUGGCAAGCCAAAGUGGUUUAAAAGGAACAGCGUUCCAACCCACACUUAAAAAUGCCCUGAAACACAGCUUCCAACAACAACCGCAGGAGCCAGAGCAGCCUGGUGGGCAGGAGGUGGGGAUGUGAUGACUCUUUUUCACAGAAGACUUGUCUAACCAUGGCUCUUAGGAACUGAGCUGCAGGAUGAUGGCAAGGACUGAAUCCUGGGCUCCAUAUCCCAGAAUGGCUCCCUUGCGUGCUAGGUAUACAUCCUGUCCUUACGCACACCUGUAUGCUGAGUAACCAUCAGGAGUGUCCUCUAAGUACCAAUAUGACUGUGGCACACACAUAUGCCUUCAGUUAAAGGGAGACUGCCCUUAAGAAGAGCCUCUCAACACCCAGGCAACCAUUCUCACCCUAUCCAGGACAGGCUUCCAGGUUAUUUAUAUUGAAAGGUUUCCCCAAGUACCCAGAAAACUCUACAAGUUCUCUGUAACACCAGCCACAUCCCUUCCUGCAGUAUGCAGCUUUGCAAAAUCCUAAUAUGCCCCCGUCGUGGCUAAUAUUGUUGUUAAUAUAAUCAGAAGGCAACUACUUGAUGGAAGCCAAACACUUGGUGUGCUUAUUAGGAGGUUCUCCUCCUGUUAUUCCUAACGAGGGAGCCCCACUGGAGCGUUGUAACUCCCUAUCCUGGAUAACAAAGCUGGACUUGUCAAAAGCUGAUCAAUACAGACACUGGCACCAUCAGACAAUAGACUUGUGCUAAUUAAUAUUUAAUGGGCCCAUGGAUUUUUCCUUAGCAGCUGGGGUGCUAAAUAAUAGUCAAUUAGCAAACGUGUUAAUUAACUCUAAUUACACAGCACACAGCGACUUCUCCAAGGACUUUUACUUCAGAUCUCCAUGUAAUGUUCCCCCACUCAUCUUAAUCACACCAGGCAGCUAAUUAAUUGGUAAGUAAUUUUUUCUUUUUGUUUCCCCCAAACAUGUAUUUUAAAAAUCAGAGCUGAGAUUCGUUUUACUCUUAGAUGUUAUUUUUAAAAGUCACCAAGAACAAAACCAGGUUUUAUUCAUGUAGUGUUCUUUCAAACACUCUGCCAACUUUCUCCCUCCCCACCCUGGCGAUUUCUUCUAGAGAGGAGGGGGAGGGGGAGAGAGAGAGAAAGAGAGACAGACAGAGACGGGGAGAGAAAGAUUGGCAGACAGAAAUGGAUAAGGAGAGAUAGACAGACAGACGAAGGCAGAUAAACAGAGACAGACACAGAGAGGAGGGAGAGAAAGACAGUCAGCUGGGAAGAGGGGCAAGAAGAGAGGCGAGAAGGUGACUGAAGGAGGGAAGGGGAGACAGAGACAGAGAGGGAGACAGAAACAGAGAGAGACAGAGAGAGUUAGAAAGAAGAGAGAGAAAGAGAAAGAAUAAAGAAGAAGUUGGGAGAGAGAGAGAGAGAGAG
rnacentral:lncRNA from 1 species